rnacentral:rRNA from 1 species
AUUGAACGCUGGCGGCAUGCCUUACACAUGCAAGUCGAACGGCAGCACGGGAGCAAUCCUGGUGGCGAGUGGCGAACGGGUGAGUAAUGCAUCGGAACGUGCCAUUGAGUGGGGGAUAACGUAGCGAAAGUUACGCUAAUACCGCAUAUUCUGUGCGCAGGAAAGCAGGGGAUCGCAAGACCUUGCGCUCUUUGAGCGGCCGAUGUCAGAUUAGCUAGUUGGUGGGGUAAAGGCUCACCAAGGCGACGAUCUGUAGCGGGUCUGAGAGGAUGAUCCGCCACACUGGGACUGAGACACGGCCCAGACUCCUACGGGAGGCAGCAGUGGGGAAUUUUGGACAAUGGGGGCAACCCUGAUCCAGCCAUGCCGCGUGAGUGAAGAAGGCCUUCGGGUUGUAAAGCUCUUUCGGCCGGGUAAGGAAGUACGCACAGGUUAAUAACCCUCGUGUGGAUGACGGUACCGGACGUAAGAAGACACCGGCUAACUACGU